rnacentral:rRNA from 1 species
UAGGGAAUCUUGGACAAUGGGGGAAACCCUGAUCCAGCCAUGCCGCGUGAGUGAUGAAGGCCUUCGGGUUGUAAAACUCUUUCGCGCGCGACGAUAAUGACGGUAGCGCGAGAAGAAGCUCCGGCUAACUUCGUGCCAGCAGCCGCGGUAAUACGAAGGGGGCUAGCGUUGUUCGGAAUUACUGGGCGUAAAGCGCGCGCAGGCGGCCUUCCAAGUCAGGGGUGAAAUCCCAGAGCUCAACUCUGGAAUUGCCUCUGAGACUGUGAGGCUUCGAGUACGGAAGAGGUGAGUGGAAUUCCCAGUGUAGAGGUGAAAUUCGUAGAUAUUGGGAAGAACACCGGUGGCGAAGGCGGCUCACUGGUCCGUUACUGACGCUCAUGCGCGACAGCGUGGGGAUCAAACAG